rnacentral:sRNA from 1 species
UUAUGUAGGACAACUUGCGUCGGGAAAACCCACUUUGACGAUCCAAAAAUGCGGGUUCCCGGUUUUCGAAGAGUAAAAGUCCGCAAAGAAACGUGACAGAAGGAAAAGGCACCCGGCCAUAUCUAAAUCAAUUUCAAACUCGAACUGAUCAAUGGCUAAUUUGACUGUACAUUGCAAAUGCCGCUCUGAGAAAAUCAACUGCAGCUAACUUUCCCCCUAUGUCGAAAUGUAUCUGAUGGCUCCAACGGAACUAAUGGGGUAAUGCUCUGGACAACGAAUGACAGCAUAAGGAUCCACAUGACGUUAGAGCCCAAAAUUCAGCAAGAUGUAAUUAUAGAAACUAUCCAAAAUAUCAUAAUCGAAGGUGGGGUUUGGAUCUCUAUAUGAAUCUCAUAACUAAUAAUUGAGGGAGAGCAAAAAAAUUUUCGUGGCCAUAUUAGCUUCUAGAGUACGAUGAACCCGCAGCCGCUAAAAGCUUCUGUGGAUGGUGACAAAAAAAACCGAGAAGAUCAAGAAAUUACAAAAAAUAGGGAGCCCCGAAAAAUAUCAGAACCCGUCAUGAACGCUAAUCCAAAGCGUGUAUGUUGUAUAUCCAGACAGCCCGUGUUUUCGUUAUAGCGUUUCGAUAAUCGAUCAAAGGCCUGGUAGUUUGGUAUCUUGACCGUAUCCCAAACAUGUCAUUAUAUGGGAAUUUUCUAUCAGCUCAUGUUUGGAAAGAAAGAAAAAGGCGUUCGAAAGGCGUAGAAGAAAAGCAACCCGGCAUGUCGGGACGUCAACCGGUUCGUGCAACGGAGCGAAAGAACUAAGGUGAUAAGUGGAUUUGUUAAGGGACAUGGAAACCCUUUAGCUUUCGAAAUGUUCGAACGGUUCGAAUAGCGCUCAUACGCAUACACUGAUUCGAAUUUUCUGGAGGCGGUAUGUCCCGACUAGCUUACAACGCCCAUGAACGCUAUUGAAGCUGACAGAACCAGUCAAAAGCCUAGGUUCCUUAGCAUGGUAUAUUUGCAAGCCCAAAAGCAUGGCCGUAUUAUUCGAAUGUGACGCCCAAGCCAAGGACUCCAGCAUAUUUGAUGGGAACAUCGUCAGGAAAUUAAACUCGUUCGUAAAUGAAAUAGUUUGUUGUGGCUUGUGUCACCGGAACAGUUGGGUAUAGGAGGUAUUCUGAUUUCAUGUCGUAGGUGGGGGAGAAGACGGUAGUAUUCCGCAGGUUUCGCUGCAGAUUAUGCCAGAAGAGUUGGUUUAAAGGGCGUUAGAUGGCUAUGGGGAGGAAGAGUGGAGGUUGUCUGAAAAGAGCUAUAAAAGCACAUUCGGCAGAAAAACGAAACAAACCAAAAGAAACAGAAAUCAAGGAGAAGAAAAGAAUGGAACGUAAAAAUUACAGGAAUAAAGCUAAUUGUUUGGAUAUGCGCAUAAUAGACCGUUGCACAUGAAAGGGUCAUAAGAAGCAAAUCUAGCUGGGUGGAAUCGUUUGAAAAAAUUCUAAGGCGUCGCGGAAUCGUGAAACCAGUGUGGACAACAAGAGGCAAGACCAAGUUAGACAGAGAAGGGCGGCUUUUGAACUACAUGAUUCCGGAGCCGUAAGUUGGUUGAAGCGUAGUGUAGUGCUGCAGGUUCUGGACGGUUGUUUGCGGAUGUUAUACUGAGAUGGAAAAUAUUUCGUGCAACGCAAUGUAUUAAUUUCGACAAACGUUCUCGGAAGGGUGUCUAUUGCAGUUGUUCCAAUAUCGCUCCACAGCUCGCUGGGCAACUGGGCCACGAAAUCGGUCGAGGAAGUAGUUGAAGAGUGCAAAUUCGUCACGGGUCAAGAUAUAUGUGUCAGGAUCCGCCUGAACCUUGCGCCAGACUUCGCCAAUAGCGGUUUCAAGAAUGGAGGUCAUUCUGGGGUCGAUACUGCCAUCUUCGCUAUUCCUGGCUUCUUCCAAAGCCACUCGUAUUGUUUCG